UUCCCUCAUCCUCCUUGCUAACUAACAGGCUUCCUGCAAACUUGGACCAGUAGGAGAGAAAACAUGACGUACAACUGAACAGUGCGCUAGGUCCUUGCCUUGCAGUUCUCAGUCAACCUGCAGAAUAUUCAGGAGGCGGCUGACGACGCAACCUCAGAUAAGACAGGAUGAAUGGAAGUUAGUCUGGCCUCGUUGUUGGAAUAAAACUGUCGUCUUGAUUACUGGGGGGCAGCAGCAGCCACACCACACUGAGAGGAACAAAGAAACUCAAACAACAACAUUGGUGCUCUUCGCUUUCACUGAGUGCUGUAAAAUAAAUACAACAUGGUUAAUGUUAGCACAAUUGUUGCAACCAUUCAAAUAAAUAUAUAGGUGAAGCAAAAACAGCAGUGAAACCAACUGUGAAAUGCAUAUUGCCUUAUAUAUAAUAUAUAUAUAUUUAUUUUAGAUAGAUUUAUAUAUAUAUGUGUUCUAUAUACUCUCCCUAGAUUCUUUAACAACUUACAAGAUGCCAACUAGCACCAGGAACGAUGCUUGCUACAACUCAAGGAGAAGUGGAGUGGUUACUGUGGGCGCCUUCAAACAUUUAGCAGCAGACAGAUUCCUGAAGAUGCAAAGGACUGAAUUCAUACAGACAUACAGAAUCAUCUGGUGAGGCGAGUUGUGGAGGAUGAAGAGCAGCAAUGCAUGCUAAUCAAAACUCUUUCAACUGAAAUUAGUUCUUAGUCAAUGUUUUGACAUUUUUUGAAUUGCAAAUUGAAAGUGUUUCUGAAAAGUCAGCAUUUAAAUAUAAUACUUGCAAAAAAGCAAAAACAAGAAGACAUCUAAGGAGUGAGGAAGCAAGGAAUUGGAAGUAAUGAAAAGAGGAGGAAGAAUGAAAGAGAACACUGUAAAAAAGAAAUGUCGCUAAUUUAUGGUAAAAUACCGGCAAGCUGUGGUUGCCAGAAUUUUACCAUAUUUAUAGGGUAAAAUUGGAGAUGAUUUUUUUUUUUUACAAUGUAAAAAGGACAGAAAGAGGGACAGAAGGAUGAGGAAGGAAAAAGCUAACUGAAAAGAGGGAGUAAAGAGAGAAAGGAAAGAAGGAAAUGGAGGAUGAAGAAGGAAAAUUGGCAAAAGAAAAGAAGGAUAGAGGGAGAAGAAGGAAAAUGGCAGAAGUAAAUAAGAAAAUGAGAAAAAAGAUGGAAAGAUGCAGGAAAGCAACAGGAAUAAAGUUAGGAGAGGAAAGAUGGAGGGUAAAAUGAAAGAGAGAAAUGAAACUGCAGCUUUUUAAACUCAGUUCAUGUUUCAGAACAUUAACAUUAGUUUGCCAGCUUUCAGGCCGGAUGUGUCAAUAAAAAUAUGAACUAUUAAAAACUAUUAACUUAAACUAAGCUUGUCUGGAACUGAGUUUGGCUUCUCCUCCACAGUUCCCCUCUGUGUGUUUCUGUACAUAACAAACCGAGCAGCUAAAGAGUUCAAGCUAAAACAUUUCCAGAAUGAAACACUUGUUCCUCACAUGGUCUUCACAAGCACCGAGGUUUGACUGCAGGCAUUCAGCCACUAAAGAGGAGAUUCUGUGCAGAAUCCGCCUGGGUCCACAACAAUGAAGAUGCAAUUGAAAAAACGUUUUAAAAAUCUUUACCACAACACGCUUCUGUUUUGAGAUCAGGCACCCAAGCUGUUCUGCUGCUUUUGAAGCAUAGUCAUUCACAGUUGCAUGCAUAUACCAGCAAAGUAUCAAAAAUGGCUCCAAUGAGGAACUUCUUUUUUGUUUUCAGAAAGCAUGGUUUUAUGUGUCUAGAAUAUAAAAAUGGGUCCUCGCAUGCAUCUUCAUUGAUGUGGACGUAACAUUUAGGGAUUUGAUUACUGAGCAUCUGAUUAUGUUGUUUGGACUAUUUGCAGUAAUUAUGGCGUAGACAAUAGUAAAUGCGGAAAAAGUUGCAACAUUGUGACUAAAAA